GACGAACGCUGGCGGCGUGUCUAACACAUGCAAGUCGAACGGAGAUAAAGAUUUCGGUUUUUAUCUUAGUGGCGCACGGGUGAGUAACACGUGAAUAACCUGACCCAAAGAGGGGGAUAACACCUGGAAACAGGUGCUAAUACCGCAUAAGACCACAAUGUCGCAUGACGAAGGGGUCAAAGAAAAUCGCUUUGGGAGGGGUUCGCGUCCCAUUAGGUAGUAGGCGGGGUAACGGCCCACCUAGCCGACGAUGGGUAGCCGAGCUGAGAGGCUGAUCGGCCACACUGGAACUGAGACACGGUCCAGACUCCUACGGGAGGCAGCAGUGGGGAAUAUUGGGCAAUGGGCGCAAGCCUGACCCAGCAACGCCGCGUGAGGGAAGAAGGUUUUCGGAUUGUAAACCUCUGUCGCAGAAGACGAAGGAAGUGACGGUAUUCUGUGAGGAAGCCCCGGCUAACUACGUGCCAGCAGCCGCGGUAAUACGUAGGGGGCGAGCGUUGUCCGGAAUUACUGGGCGUAAAGGGAGCGUAGGCGGUCUGAUAAGUUGGAUGUGAAAUACCCGGGCUUAACUUGGGGGGUGCAUCCAAUACUGUUGGACUAGAGUACAGGAGAGGAAAGCGGAAUUCCUAGUGUAGCGGUGAAAUGCAUAGAUAUUAGGAGGAACAUCGGUGGCGAAGGCGGCUUUCUGGACUGCAACUGACGCUGAGGCUCGAAAGCGUGGGGAGCAAACAGGAUUAGAUACCCUGGUAGUCCACGCUGUAAACGAG
rnacentral:rRNA from 1 species